AUUGAACGCUGGCGGCAUGCCUUACACAUGCAAGUCGAACGGCAGCACGGGAGCAACCCUGGUGGCGAGUGGCGAACGGGUGAGUAAAGUAUCGGAACGUGCCCAGUCGUGGGGGAUAACGUAGCGAAAGUUACGCUAAUACCGCAUACGAUCUAUGGAUGAAAGCGGGGGAUCGCAAGCCCUCGCGCGAUUGGAGCGGCCGAUAUCAGAUUAGGUAGUUGGUGGGGUAAAGGCUAACCAAGCCGACGAUCUGUAGCUGGUCUGAGAGGACGACCAGCCACACUGGGACUGAGACACGGCCCAGACUCCUACGGGAGGCAGCAGUGGGGAAUUUUGGACAAUGGGCGAAAGCCUGAUCCAGCCAUGCCGCGUGCAGGAUGAAGGCCUUCGGGUUGUAAACUGCUUUUGUACGGAACGAAAAGGUUUGGGCUAAUAAGCUGAGCUCAUGACGGUACCGUAAGAAUAAGCACCGGCUAACUACGUGCCAGCAGCCGCGGUAA
rnacentral:rRNA from 1 species